rnacentral:rRNA from 1 species
GGAUAACUACUGGAAACGGUGGCUAAUACCGCAUAACGUCGCAAGACCAAAGAGGGGGACCUUCGGGCCUCUUGCCAUCAGAUGUGCCCAGAUGGGAUUAGCUAGUUGGUGAGGUAACGGCUCACCAAGGCGACGAUCCCUAGCUGGUCUGAGAGGAUGACCAGCCACACUGGAACUGAGACACGGUCCAGACUCCUACGGGAGGCAGCAGUGGGGAAUAUUGCACAAUGGGCGCAAGCCUGAUGCAGCCAUGCCGCGUGUAUGAAGAAGGCCUUCGGGUUGUAAAGUACUUUCAGCGGGGAGGAAGGUGUUGUGGUUAAUAACCACAGCAAUUGACGUUACCCGCAGAAGAAGCACCGGCUAACUCCGUGCCAGCAGCCGCGGUAAUACGGAGGGUGCAAGCGUUAAUCGGAAUUACUGGGCGUAAAGCGCACGCAGGCGGUCUGUCAAGUCGGAUGUGAAAUCCCCGGGCUCAACCUGGGAACUGCAUUCGAAACUGGCAGGCUUGAGUCUUGUAGAGGGGGGUAGAAUUCCAGGUGUAGCGGUGAAAUGCGUAGAGAUCUGGAGGAAUACCGGUGGCGAAGGCGGCCCCCUGGACAAAGACUGACGCUCAGGUGCGAAAGCGUGGGGAGCAAACAGGAUUAGAUACCCUGGUAGUCCACGCCGUAAACGAUGUCUACUUGGAGGUUGUGCCCUUGAGGCGUGGCUUCCGGAGCUAACGCGUUAAGUAGACCGCCUGGGGAGUACGGCCGCAAGGUUAAAACUCAAAUGAAUUGACGGGGGCCCGCACAAGCGGUGGAGCAUGUGGUUUAAUUCGAUGCAACGCGAAGAACCUUACCUGGUCUUGACAUCCACGGAAGUUUUCAGAGAUGAGAAUGUGCCUUCGGGAACCGUGAGACAGGUGCUGCAUGGCUGUCGUCAGCUCGUGUUGUGAAAUGUUGGGUUAAGUCCCGCAACGAGCGCAACCCUUAUCCUUUGUUGCCAGCGGUCCGGCCGGGAACUCAAAGGAGACUGCCAGUGAUAAACUGGAGGAAGGUGGGGAUGACGUCAAGUCAUCAUGGCCCUUACGACCAGGGCUACACACGUGCUACAAUGGCGCAUACAAAGAGAAGCGACCUCGCGAGAGCAAGCGGACCUCAUAAAGUGCGUCGUAGUCCGGAUUGGAGUCUGCAACUCGACUCCAUGAAGUCGGAAUCGCUAGUAAUCGUGGAUCAGAAUGCCACGGUGAAUACGUUCCCGGGCCUUGUACACACCGCCCGUCACACCAUGGGAGUGGGUUGCAAAAGAAGUAGGUAGCUUAACCUUCGGGAGGGCGCUUACCACUUUGUGAUUCAUGACUGGGGUGAAGUCGUAACAAGGUAACCGUAGGGGAACCUGCGGUUGGA